GGGAAUGUGGCUUAGUGGUAGAGUGCUUGCCUAGCAUGCAUGAAAUCCUGGGUUUAAUUCCUCAGUACCA
rnacentral:tRNA from 1 species